rnacentral:rRNA from 1 species
GAGUUUGAUCCUGGCUCAGGAUGAACGCUGGCGGCGUGCCUAAUACAUGCAAGUCGAGCGAACCCUUCGGGGUUAGCGGCGGACGGGUGAGUAACACGUGGGUAACCUGCCUAUAAGACUGGGAUAACUUCGGGAAACCGUAGCUAAUACCGGAUAUAUUUUUGGUUCACAUGAACUAAAAUGGAAAGGCGGCUUUUGCUGUCACUUAUAGAUGGACCCGCGGCGCAUUAGCUAGUUGGUGAGGUAACGGCUCACCAAGGCGACGAUGCGUAGCCGACCUGAGAGGGUGAUCGGCCACACUGGGACUGAGACACGGCCCAGACUCCUACGGGAGGCAGCAGUAGGGAAUCUUCGGCAAUGGGCGAAAGCCUGACCGAGCAACGCCGCGUGAGCGAUGAAGGCCUUCGGGUCGUAAAGCUCUGUUGUUAGGGAAGAACAAGUACCAGUUGAAUAAGCUGGUACCUUGACGGUACCUAACGAGAAAGCCACGGCUAACUACGUGCCAGCAGCCGCGGUAAUACGUAGGUGGCGAGCGUUAUCCGGAAUUAUUGGGCGUAAAGCGCGCGCAGGCGGUCUCUUAAGUCUGAUGUGAAAUCUCGCGGCUC